AUUGAACGCUGGCGGCAGGCCUAACACAUGCAAGUCGAGCGAGCGGCGGACGGGUGAGUAAUGUCUGGGAAACUGCCUGAUGGAGGGGGAUAACUACUGGAAACGGUAGCUAAUACCGCAUACCAUCAGAUGUGCCCAGAUGGGAUUGGCUAGUGGGUGGGGUAACGGCUCACCUAGGCGACGAUCCCUAGCUGGCCUGAGAGGAGGACCAGCCACACUGGAACUGAGACACGGUCCAGACUCCUACGGGAGGCAGCAGUGGGGAAUAUUGCGCAAUGGGGGCAACCCUGACGCAGCCAUGCCGCGUGAAUGAAGAAGGCCUUCGGGUUGUAAAGUUCUUUCGGUAGCGAGGCGUUAACUACAGAAGAAGCACCGGCUAACUACGUGCCAGCAGCCGCGGUAAUAC
rnacentral:rRNA from 1 species